rnacentral:rRNA from 1 species
CAGCUAACGCAGGUAAGCACUCCGCCUGGGGAGUACGGCAGCAAGGUUGAAACUCAAAGGAAUUGACGGGAAAAAAAGCACAAGCGGUGGAGCAUGUGGUUUAAUUCGAAGCAAGGCGAAGAACCUUACCAAAUCUUGACAUCCUCUGACCACCCUGGAGACAGGGUUUCCCUUCGGGGCAGAGUGACAGGUGGUGCAUGGUUGUCGUCAGCUCGUGUCGUGAGAUGUUGGGUUAAGUCCCGCAACGAGCGCAACCCUUAUCAUUAGUUGCCAGCAUUCAGUUGGGCACUCUAAUGAGACUGCCGGUGACAAACCUUAAUAGAGGUGGGGAUGACGUCAAAUCAUCAUGCCCCUUAUGAUUUGGGCUACACACGUGCUACAAUGGACAGGUUUUUUUAAAGAACGGCUAAGCCGCGAGGCCAAGCGAAUCCCAUAAACCUGUUUAAAUUCGGAUUGGAGUCUGCAACUCGACUCCAUGAAGCUGGAAUC